GAUAAUUUUUUGGGUAUUGUUUUACUGUUGUUUUAAUUUUAACGAUUUUGAUAGAAGAUAGACUUUAUGACGUUUAAGUAUUGUACCUACUUACUUAGAAUUGGGAGAAUACAUUAGUUCGGUGGCCAGCAGGUCGACCUAUCCAGGUUGUUGUAUCCUAUAACAUCUUUAACUUUAUUGUAUUGGUAUAAAGUCGAACACUUAAUGAAUAAAUUUGGAUUUGAUUGAUCUGGUGGCCAGUGUCCCUUUUUUAAUUUAAGUUUCAAACACAGGAUAUAAUAUUAUUAUGUAUGUAUUUCGAAAUGGUCCAUCACAUUUUUUUAAAUGUACUAAUUUUAUGUAAAACUGAUAUUUUCUAGAAAUAACAUAAUCACUAAAUGUUUUGUGCGAGUAUGUUUUCAGAUGACCUGAAUUUUACAUGAUGAGGUACAACUUUGAUAAAGCGUGGAAAAAGGACAUGCAAAAUGGUCCUUUGGAGCAUGAAGCCAGAUGAGACUGAAUAAAAACGGCGCUGCAACGUUUUAGCUGAGACCAGAAAACUAAAUUCAACGUAGUUCAUGACUGACACACGAGAUGGCACGACUAGUCUCUUCUCU